rnacentral:tRNA from 1 species
AGAGGCUUAGGAUAGUAUAAUAGACCAAGGGCCUUCAAAGCCCUAAGCGAGAGUGAAAAUCUCCCAGCCUCUG